rnacentral:rRNA from 1 species
UAGGUGUGGGUUUCCUUCCUUGGGAUCCGUGCCGUAGCUAACGCAUUAAGUACCCCGCCUGGGGAGUACGGCCGCAAGGCUAAAACUCAAAGGAAUUGACGGGGGCCCGCACAAGCGGCGGAGCAUGUGGAUUAAUUCGAUGCAACGCGAAGAACCUUACCUGGGUUUGACAUGCACAGGACGUCGGCAGAGAUGUCGGUUCCCUUGUGGCCUGUGUGCAGGUGGUGCAUGGCUGUCGUCAGCUCGUGUCGUGGGAUGUUGGGUUAAGUCCCGCAACGAGCGCAACCCUUGUCUCAUGUUGCCAGCACGUUAUGGUGGGGACUCGUGAGAGACUGCCGGGGUCAACUCGGAGGAAGGUGGGGAUGACGUCAAGUCAUCAUGCCCCUUAUGUCCAGGGCUUCACACAUGCUACAAUGGCCGGUACAAAGGGCUGCGAUGCCGUGAGGUGGAGCGAAUCCUUUCAAAGCCGGUCUCAGUUCGGAUCGGGGUCUGCAACUCGACCCCGUGAAGUCGGAGUCGCUAGUAAUCGCAGAUCAGCAACGCUGCGGUGAAUACGUUCCCGGGCCUUGUACACACCGCCCGUCACGUCAUGAAAGUCGGUAACACCCGAAGCCGGUGGCCUAACCCGUAAGGGGGGGAGCCGUCGAAGGUGGGGCUG